CUCCUUUUUUUUUAUGUAUUGGGGCGUAAAUCACUUUACAUG
rnacentral:tRNA from 1 species